rnacentral:rRNA from 1 species
CCUACGGGAGGCAGCAGUGGGGAAUAUUGGGCAAUGGGCGCAAGCCUGACCCAGCAACGCCGCGUGAAGGAAGAAGGCUUUCGGGUUGUAAACUUCUUUUAAGGGGGAAGAGCAGAAGACGGUACCCCUUGAAUAAGCCACGGCUAACUACGUGUCAGCAGCCGCGGUAAUACGUAGGUGGCAAGCGUUGUCCGGAUUUACUGGGUGUAAAGGGCGUGCAGCCGGAGAGACAAGUCAGAUGUGAAAUCCACGGGCUCAACCCGUGAACUGCAUUUGAAACUGUUUCCCUUGAGUGUCGGAGAGGUAAUCGGAAUUCCUGGUGUAGCGGUGAAAUGCGUAGAUAUAAGGAAGAACACCAGUGGCGAAGGCGGAUUACUGGACGAUAACUGACGGGGAGGCGCGAAAGCGUGGGGAGCAAACAGGAUUAGAUACCCGGGUAGUC